UACGAAGGGUGCAAGCGUUACUCGGAAUUACUGGGCGUAAAGCGUGCGUAGGUGGUUUGUUAAGUCCGUUGUGAAAGCCCCGGGCUCAACCUGGGAAUGGCAGUGGAAACUAGGGGACUGGAAUCUGGCAGAGGGGGGUGGAAUGCCGCGUGUAGCAGUGAAAUGCGUAGAGAUGCGGCGGAACACCGAUGGCGAAGGCAGCCCCCUGGGCUGAGAUUGACGCUCAGGCACGAAAGCGUGGGGAGCAAACAGG
rnacentral:rRNA from 1 species